rnacentral:misc_RNA from 1 species
ACCGGACGGUUUCACCUCAAGAUGCAGGACGAUGGGAACCUUGUUUUAUACCCACUGAAUACGGGGGAUACACCAGGUAAUGCUUACUGGGACUCCCAAACUUUUGGGGAUGGUUCCAAGUUUCAUCUUUAUCUCAAUAGCUCUGGCCACCUACUAAUUAUCAACGGUACCAUUUCAAAAAUCAUCGAGACCCUAUAUUAUAACUCAUU